GCAUAAGAUUGUAGUACCGCAUGGUACAGCAAUUAAAGGAGUAAUCCGCUAUGAGAUGGACCCGCGUCGCAUUAGCUAGUUGGUGAGGUAACGGCUCACCAAGGCGACGAUGCGUAGCCGACCUGAGAGGGUGAUCGGCCACAUUGGGACUGAGACACGGCCCAGACUCCUACGGGAGGCAGCAGUGGGGAAUAUUGCACAAUGGGGGAAACCCUGAUGCAGCAACGCCGCGUGAGUGAUGACGGUCUUCGGAUUGUAAAGCUCUGUCUUUAGGGACGAUAAUGACGGUACCUAAGGAGGAAGCCACGGCUAACUACGUGCCAGCAGCCGCGGUAAUACGUAGGUGGCAAGCGUUGUCCGGAUUUACUGGGCGUAAAGGGAGCGUAGGUGGAUAUUUAAGUGGGAUGUGAAAUACCCGGGCUUAACCUGGGUGCUGCAUUCCAAACUGGAUAUCUAGAGUGCAGGAGAGGAAAGGAGAAUUCCUAGUGUAGCGGUGAAAUGCG
rnacentral:rRNA from 1 species